rnacentral:rRNA from 1 species
UACGGAGGGUGCAAGCGUUGCUCGGAAUUAUUGGGCGUAAAGGGUAGGUAGGUGGUCUCAUUUGUCUGAGGUGAAAGCCUUGAGCUUAACUCAAGAAGUGCCCCAGAAACGGUGAGACUGGAGUCCUGGAGAGGGUCGUGGAAUUCCCGGUGUAGCGGUGAAAUGCGUAGAGAUCGGGAGGAACACCAGAGGCGAAAGCGGCGACCUGGACAGGCACUGACACUCAACUACGAAAGCGUGGGGAGCAAACAGG